GCAGGCCUAACACAUGCAAGUCGAGCGGAAACGAGUUAUCUGAACUUUCGGGGAACGAUAACGGCGUCGAGCGGCGGACGGGUGAGUAAUGCCUAGGAAAUUGCCUUGAUGUGGGGGAUAACCACUGGAAACGAUGGCUAAUACCGCAUAAUGCCUACGGGCCAAAGAGGGGGACCUUCGGGCCUCUCGCGUCAAGAUAUGCCUAGGUGGGAUUAGCUAGUUGGCGAGGUAAUGGCUCACCAAGGCGACGAUCCCUAGCUGGUCUGAGAGGAUGAUCAGCCACACUGGAACUGAGACACGGUCCAGACUCCUACGGGAGGCAGCAGUGGGGAAUAUUGCACAAUGGGCGAAAGCCUGAUGCAGCCAUGCCGCGUGUAUGAAGAAGGCCUUCGGGUUGUAAAGUACUUUCAGUUGUGAGGAAGGGGGUGUCGUUAAUAGCGGCAUCUCUUGACGUUAGCAACAGAAGAAGCACCGGCUAACUCCGUGCCAGCAGCCGCGGUAAUACGGAGGGUGCGAGCGUUAAUCGGAAUUACUGGGCGUAAAGCGCAUGCAGGUGGUUCAUUAAGUCAGAUGUGAAAGCCCGGGGCUCAACCUCGGAACUGCAUUUGAAACUGGUGAACUAGAGUACUGUAGAGGGGGGUAGAAUUUCAGGUGUAGCGGUGAAAUGCGUAGAGAUCUGAAGGAAUACCAGUGGCGAAGGCGGCCCCCUGGACAGAUACUGACACUCAGAUGCGAAAGCGUGAGGAGCAAACAGGAUUAGAUACCCUGGUAGUCCACGCCGUAAACGAUGUCUACUUGGAGGUUGUGGCCUUGAGCCGUGGCUUUCGGAGCUAACGCGUUAAGUAGACCGCCUGGGGAGUACGGUCGCAAGAUUAAAACUCAAAUGAAUUGACGGGGGCCCGCACAAGCGGUGGAGCAUGUGGUUUAAUUCGAUGCAACGCGAAGAACCUUACCUACUCUUGACAUCCAGAGAAGCCAGC
rnacentral:rRNA from 1 species